rnacentral:rRNA from 1 species
UGGGGAAUUUUGGACAAUGGGCGAAAGCCUGAUCCAGCAAUGCCGCGUGUGUGAAGAAGGCCUUCGGGUUGUAAAGCACUUUUGUCCGGAAAGAAAUCCUUGGCUCUAAUACAGUCGGGGGAUGACGGUACCGGAAGAAUAAGCACCGGCUAACUACGUGCCAGCAGCCGCGGUAAUACGUAGGGUGCAAGCGUUAAUCGGAAUUACUGGGCGUAAAGCGUGCGCAGGCGGUUUGCUAAGACCGAUGUGAAAUCCCCGGGCUCAACCUGGGAACUGCAUUGGUGACUGGCAGGCUAGAGUAUGGCAGAGGGGGGUAGAAUUCCACGUGUAGCAGUGAAAUGCGUAGAGAUGUGGAGGAAUACCGAUGGCGAAGGCAGCCCCCCUGGGGCCAAAUACUGACGCUCAUGCACGAAAGCGUGGGGAGCAAACAGGAUUAGAUACCCUGGUAGUCCACGCCCUAAAACGAUGUCAACUAGUUGUUGGGGAUUCAUUUCCUUAGUAACGUAGCUAACGCGUGAAGUUGACCGCCUGGGGAGUACGGUCGCAAGAUUAAAACUCAAAUGAAUUGACGGGGUCAUAGCUGUUUCCU